CUCCCGGUCGGGCCCCAGCCCCGCGCGGCUGAGCACUGAGCUCUCCGAUCCGCAGGAGGCGGCUCCCUCCUCGGCAGAGGCCCCCCUUUUCCUGGAAACUCACGUUCUCUCUAUUCAGAAGCCACCAUAGCCAAUACUGAAUUGAAAUGAAAUUGCUUCUUACCAAGUGAGAAGGACCACAGGGUGGACUUUCGCCAGGACAGAGUUGUCUGACAGAACCGGCCCCAGUCUGCAGCGCGGCCCUUCCAGCCCAGCCAGACCCGAAGGCCUGUGUCCUGUAAGGGACCCAACCCCAGUCACCCGUCAAGCCCUCCCACCGGCUUCCUGAUCGGAAACACUGUUUUAGGCAGACGAGUUAGGGCUGUUUGUCACACAGCACUAAGCGGCACACCUGCUGCACAGAACUCACCUGAUCCAUUUUGGAAAACUGAGGUACAGGGAGGUGCUAUAACCCGCCCAGCCACACAGCUUGCAAAUGGUGAAGUUGGGAUUUGAACUACCAGGCCCUGCUGGCUUUGACCCGUUGUGGGAUUGGGGGCACCGGAAGAAGGUAAAAUCUCCAAGGAGCCCCGUGCCUCAGUUUCCCCAUCAACACAGUGAGCGCAGUAGUGCCGGGUCUGCAUGCCGCUUAAAGGGGUUAAGGGCC